AACAUAGCCAUUUGAUGAUAUAAUAUGGUUUAACCUGCCCAAUGUAAUAUAUAAAUGGCCGCGGUACCCUGACCGUGCUAAGGUAGCGUAAUCAGUUGACUUUUAAAUGAAGUCAGGUAUGAAUGGAAUAACCGAGCUUAGCUGUCUCUUAAUUAAUACUUUGAAUUUACUGUUUAAGUGAAAAAGCUUAAGUUUUGAAAAGGGACGAGAAGACCCUUAGAAUUUUUUUCAAAAUUUUAAUCAUUCGAUUUUAUUGGGGCGAUAAAGAAAUAAUUAAAACUUUCUCUAUAUAACAAGCCGAUUAUAUUAUGUGAGGAUAAAUUACCUGAGGGAUAACAGCAUAAUUCUAAAAAUGAGUUUGUGACCUCGAUGUUGGACUAGGAAACUGAUAGGUUAGUCGUCUAUUAUGUUAGGUUCUGUUCGAACUUUAAUUCCU
rnacentral:rRNA from 1 species